CCUACGGGCGGCUGCAGUGGGGAAUAUUGGACAAUGGGGGGAACCCUGAUCCAGCCAUGCCGCGUGUGUGAAGAAGGCCCUCGGGUUGUAAAGCACUUUCAGUGAGGAAGAACGCCUGGUGGUUAAUACCCAUCAGGAAAGACAUCACUCACAGAAGAAGCACCGGCUAACUCCGUGCCAGCAGCCGCGGUAAUACGGAGGGUGCGAGCGUUAAUCGGAAUUACUGGGCGUAAAGCGCGCGUAGGUGGCUUGAUAAGCCGGUUGUGAAAGCCCCGGGCUCAACCUGGGAACGGCAUCCGGAACUGUCAAGCUAGAGUGCAGGAGAGGAAGGUAGAAUUCGCGGUGUAGCGGUGAAAUGCGUAGAGAUCGGGAGGAAUACCAGUGGCGAAGGCGGCCUUCUGGACUGACACUGACACUGAGGUGCGAAAGCGUGGGUAGCAAACAGGAUUAGAUACCCUUGUAGUC
rnacentral:rRNA from 1 species